CAGGAUCAUAUUGCUCCAAGUGGUUAUAUCAAGAUCCCUACCGAAAUGUCAAAGUAUUUGGAACACUCCAAGUAUCUGCCAAAGCUCAACAACGAGAGACCUAACAAGAGGAACCCCAUUUU